CCCCGCACCAACGGGCUGCCCCGCAGCACCAACGGGCCGCCCCGCAGCCCUGCGGGAGCCUCCCCGCGCUGCCCCGCCGGCGUCUGAGCGGCGGGGGCCGCGCUGCCAGCGCACAGUCUGGCCCUUGGAGCAGCAGGCAGCGCGGUGCAGUUCCCUUCUGGUUCGCUCAGAGCUGCCUGGCAGCUGGAAAGAGUAGAAACGCUUUCAUUUUUGAGGUAAAACCCGAGAUUUCAAAGAUGAGAUCUACAAGUUUCAAUAUGUUGAAGGAAAUGGCAUCCACCAUCACUUGGUGCAGCAAGUAGAAGAUAUUACCCAGAGCAGAGAUCCAGACUGUAGAAUCCAAGAUGCAUCUUGCAACAGUGUGGGUCUGGAGCUAAACAAAGACAGGUACUUCUCUCAUCCUAACUGGGUGAGAAGCCCGUCAGCUUGGAUCUCACUUGUGGCUGGAGGCAGCAGAAGAGUGAAAGACAAGUCCUAUGGGUGCCAGCACAAGAUGGCAUUGUGGCCAGGGGUAAGGGAUGGCAAAGGAUGACAGUGCAACUGGCAUCACAGCUUGACGUGGUCGCACAGUAAGAGGUGACAGUGCAGAGACUGUCUUAAUGUCAGAAAGAGUAUCAGAGCAUCUUUUUUCAGAAGCAUUUCCCUCUAAGAUGGAUGGCAAACCUAGACAAGCACUGAAGCCAACGACUAAUAAAUCCUACUGUGAGGCUGGAAAGUGACAAGUUUCUGUGAGACCUCAGUGCAUCCAGCAUUGACAGCAGCUGAUGAAAAAACAACAGAAGACUAUUGCAAAAAGAUACUCUUUGUGGAGGGGGUGUUAUUUCACUUACUGCAUAUAAACAUAAGAAAAAUUAUGGCUGCAAGGUUUUUUUCUCUUUACAAAUUCUGCCUGUCUGCCCUUUAUGAAGAAGUUUCAGACACAGAUUAUUCUUCUGCAGGGAAGGACCAUUGGUUAAGAAUGGCUGUGGAGGAUUCCAGCUUUCCCAGUUUUCUGAAUGGGUUGUUGACCAGCUGACGCUGAAAAAUUUCAAGAAGAAUUUGAUGGAGAGAUAUUUAAUACUGGCUCUUGUUGCCACUGGUGACAUCUGGUAGAAGGGAUACAAAUACCACUUUCACCCCUCAAACUCUUCUAAGAAAUGACUUUUUUUCUGCACAGGAAAAAAUUCCCUCUCCCUUGUGCACACACUACCCUUUUCUCUCCCUCUAGUUCAGAAAAUUGCCUACAUAGUGCCAACAACUGAUGUGAAGUAAGUAGGGCAUCCAACAUAAAAACAUGGCAUGAUAUGACCUAAUGAAGCUAAGUUAAGAGGAAGGCCAAAUUCUGCUGAAACUCUUGGACUGCAGGAAUCUACAUGGGAAUUUGGGCUCUGGUGUCUAUUUCACAGAAUGCAUUUGAUUUUAGAUGCAAUGGUUUCUCAUUUUGCCCAGAGCUAAUUCCACAUAUGUUAACCCCUCGCCCCCACUCUUCCCUUUAAAAAUAGCAUUGAUUGCUGUUAUUUCCCUCAAUGCCUGUGGACUGUUGCCAUUAGUUAGAGCUUUUGUAUGUGAUCACAUAAGGACGCAGACUUCUGUACAAUGUGUGCUGUGUUUUCUAAGAGGCUUCAACAAGAUGAUUCCUUUUGUUCUCUGAAAUAUUAAGGAUAAAGCAUGCACAUCAAAUGAUUUAUGGCUCUAGUCUGUUGAGCUGCAUUCAGACUCCAGUAAAUUUUGGAGUCACUUUUGCAGUGAGAUUGGAGGCAUUAGAGAUCCAGAACAUGUGCACUGGCUGGCAGGAUGAAUUGCACAAGGAUCAUGUAACUCUAUUUACAACCAGCCUCCAACAACCAUUUCAUUUUCAAGCCUUACAUUAGAGAUUGCAAAAACAUAUGUCUGGUCAUUUUUACUUUCUUAAAUACUGUUAGUAAAUUUUCAGCUGCCAUCCAACAUGGCAGGGAGAGGAACUGGGGAGCCAUUAAGAAGUAGGAAGAUAUCCCUUUCAGAAUGUCAGGUUACCACUAAACACAGUUCUGAACUCUGGGACUUGAGCAUUUUGUUUUUCUCAAGUCUCACUGCCUUCUAGAGGACUUUGUGACACUUUGUCACUACCCACCAGUAAAAUGUUGAAAAAGAAAAAUGCUAAAACAGUUGCUAUGGGGCAAGGAAGCUGUACCUGGGAAACAUACCAAAUAACUCUGUUUUAUUUUUGCAAACGUGAAUGAAUCCCCAAAAUUAAGUGAUUUAUUUUUCACCAGCCAUCAUCUUAGUGUCAAUUGGCUUCAGCCUCUGAGGUGAAUUACCAGAGAUUCUAAGAAUUCACUUUUCAAGUGCCUUUUAAAGUGCUAAUUUACAAAAUCACUUAAGUCAUAUUUUUCUUACAUGUGUAGAGCGUAUUUUUAAAGUAAAUUGUUUACAUAAAUCAGAGAUUUUCUGCUUCUCCAUAUCUGUAAUUUGCAAGAGGGAGCUUGAAAUUUGAAAGGAGAAUGGUCCAGAUGUAAAACUGAUGUCAUUUCUCAAGCUGUAUGUGUAGACUUUUGUUUCUGAACUCAAACUUUUCAGUUUACUUCCAUUUCUGUUCCUUUCUGAAAAUGUUCAUGCAUUGAUGCAGAAAGAAAAAAGGGUUUAUUGUGAAUAAAAAAAUUAACAUAGAAUGAUUUCUGAAAUGGUAGCUUCCUAUUAAAUCUGAUGCAAUCAUUCUUAAAUGGACAGAAUGCUUAAACCUUCAGAUGACUCUAUUAAUAUUUUUAAAAUUAUGUGCAGCAAGUGUCAGAAAGCCUAUGGAAUAAAUAAUUUUCCUGCUUUAA